UACGGAGGGAGCUAGCGUUGUUCGGAUAUACUGGGCGUAAAGCGCUCGCAGGCGGCUCGAUGCGUCGUGCGUGAAACACCCCGGCUCAACUGGGGAGGGUCGUGCGAUACGGUCGGGCUGGAGGCCAGUAGGGGGAUGCGGAAUUCCGGGUGUAGUGGUGGAAUGCGUAGAGAUCCGGAGGAACACCAGCGGCGAAGGCGGCAUCCUGGACUGGUCCUGACGCUCAGGAGCGAAAGCGUGGGGAGCGAUCCGG
rnacentral:rRNA from 1 species